UAAGGAAUAUUGGUCAAUGGACGCAAGUCUGAACCAGCCAUGCCGCGUGAAGGAUGAAGGUCCUCUGGAUUGUAAACUUCUUUUAUCUGGGACGAAAACGGGAUUUUUAUCUCAAUUGACGGUACCAGAGGAAUAAGCACCGGCUAACUCCGUGCCAGCAGCCGCGGUAAUACGGAGGGUGCGAGCGUUAUCCGGAUUUACUGGGUUUAAAGGGUGCGUAGGUGGGCUUAUAAGUCAGUGGUGAAAUCUUCGAGCUUAACUUGGAAACUGCCGUUGAUACUAUAGGUCUUGAAUUAUCUGGAGGUAAGCGGAAUAUGUCAUGUAGCGGUGAAAUGCUUAGAUAUGACAUAGAACACCAAUUGCGAAGGCAGCUUACUACAUAUAAAUUGACGCUGAGGCACGAAAGCGUGGGGAUCAAACA
rnacentral:rRNA from 1 species